GAUGAACGCUGGCGGCGUGCCUAAUACAUGCAAGUCGAGCGAACAGACGAGGAGCUUGCUCCUCUGACGUUAGCGGCGGACGGGUGAGUAACACGUGGAUAACCUACCUAUAAGACUGGGAUAACUUCGGGAAACCGGAGCUAAUACCGGAUAAUAUAUUGAACCGCAUGGUUCAAUAGUGAAAGACGGUUUUGCUGUCACUUAUAGAUGGAUCCGCGCCGCAUUAGCUAGUUGGUAAGGUAACGGUUUACCAAGGCGACGAUGCGUAGCCGACCUGAGAGGGUGAUCGGCCACACUGGAACUGAGACACGGUCCAGACUCCUACGGGAGGCAGCAGUAGGGAAUCUUCCGCAAUGGGCGAAAGCCUGACGGAGCAACGCCGCGUGAGUGAUGAAGGUCUUCGGAUCGUAAAACUCUGUUAUUAGGGAAGAACAAAUGUGUAAGUAACUAUGCACGUCUUGACGGUACCUAAUCAGAAAGCCACGGCUAACUACGUG
rnacentral:rRNA from 1 species